GACGAACGCUGGCGGCGCGCCUAACACAUGCAAGUCGAACGAGCGAGAGAGAGCUUGCUUUCUUGAGCGAGUGGCGAACGGGUGAGUAACGCGUGAGGAACCUGCCUCAAAGAGGGGGACAACAGUUGGAAACGACUGCUAAUACCGCAUAAGCCCACGGUGCCGCAUGGCACAGAGGGAAAAGGAGCAAUCCGCUUUGAGAUGGCCUCGCGUCCGAUUAGCUAGUUGGUGAGGUAACGGCCCACCAAGGCGACGAUCGGUAGCCGGACUGAGAGGUUGAACGGCCACAUUGGGACUGAGACACGGCCCAGACUCCUACGGGAGGCAGCAGUGGGGAAUAUUGCACAAUGGGGGAAACCCUGAUGCAGCGACGCCGCGUGGAGGAAGUAGGUCUUCGGAUUGUAAACUCCUGUUGUUGGGGAAGAUAAUGACGGUACCCAACAAGGAAGUGACGGCUAACUACGUG
rnacentral:rRNA from 1 species